AACGAACGCUGGCGGCAUGCCUAACACAUGCAAGUCGAACGAGACCUUCGGGUCUAGUGGCGCACGGGUGCGUAACGCGUGGGAACCUGCCCUUAGGUUCGGAAUAACUCCCCGAAAGGGGUGCUAAUACCGGAUAAUGUCUUCGAACCAAAGAUUUAUCGCCUUUGGAUGGGCCCGCGCUGGAUUAGCUAGUUGGUAGGGUAAAAGCCUACCAAGGCGACGAUCCAUAGCUGGUCUGAGAGGAUGAUCAGCCACACUGGGACUGAGACACGGCCCAGACUCCUACGGGAGGCAGCAGUGGGGAAUAUUGGACAAUGGGCGAAAGCCUGAUCCAGCAAUGCCGCGUGAGUGAUGAAGGCCUUAGGGUUGUAAAGCUCUUUUACCCGGGAUGAUAAUGACAGUACCGGGAGAAUAAGCUCCGGCUAACUCCGUG
rnacentral:rRNA from 1 species